GAGGAAAGCCCAGACCUGCUAAAGAAAAGGUGUUGCAGGAGACUCUGCUCCCAAAAUGUUGUUCAAUGGUUCGCAUGGCAUGACUGCAGGAAAGAUAUAGCCCCAUCUGUCGAGAGGAAGAGUUGAUUGAGCAAGAUGAGAAGGUGACUCUUUUGGAGGAAAUGCUACAGACAGUUCAGUUCCAUUGUGGAUAACACUUCUUUGAUAAGCUACCAUUUAGAAUGUCACAGUUCGAGACUCCUUGAAAGAAGAUAGCAUUUUGCUCAUUCUGGAGAUCUGGACCCAUUAGUAAAUUGAAGACCUUAGAAGCUGUUCCACUCAAGUCAACAUCUG